CGGAGGAUCCAAGCGUUAUCCGGAUUCAUUGGGUUUAAAGGGUGCGUAGGCGGAAUUGUAAGUCAGUGGUGAAAUCCUGCAGCUUAACUGCAGAACUGCCAUUGAUACUGCAAAUCUUGAGUACAUUCGAUGUGGGCGGAAUGUGUCAUGUAGCGGUGAAAUGCUUAGAUAUGACACAGAACACCGAUUGCGAAGGCAGCUCACAAAACUGUAACUGACGCUGAGGCACGAAAGCGUGGGUAUCAAACAGGAUUAGAUACCCUGGUAGUCCACGCUGUAAACUAUGAUUACUCGAUGUUUGCGAUAUACUGUAAGCGUCUAAGCGAAAGCGAUAAGUAAUCCACCUGGGGAGUACGCUCGCAAGAGUG
rnacentral:rRNA from 1 species